rnacentral:rRNA from 1 species
GUGCCAGCAGCCGCGGUAAGACGGAGGAGGCAAGCGUUAUCCGGAAUUACUGGGCGUAAAGGGUCCGCAGGUGGCAGUUCAAGUCUGCAGUCAAAGGUCGGGGCUCAACCCCGGAAAGGCUGUGGAAACUGAACAGCUAGAGUACGGUAGGGGCAGAGGGAAUUCCCAGUGUAGCGGAGAAAUGCGUAGAGAUUGGGAAGAACACCGGUGGCGAAAGCGCUCUGCUAGGCCGAAACUGACACUGAGGGACGAAAGCGAGGGGAGCGAAAGGGAUUAGAUACCCCUGUAGUCCUAGCUGUAAACGAUGGAGACUAGGUGUGGCCUGUAUCGACCCGGGCCGUGCCGGAGCUAACGCGUUAAGUCUCCCGCCUGGGGAGUACGCACGCAAGUGUGAAACUCAAAUGAAUUGACGGGG